rnacentral:ncRNA from 1 species
AUGGAUCAGAACUUGUAUAAUAGUUGAGAUAAGGUCAACGAGUUUCUACCUGCUACCGUAAAUAGGCAGACUACAGGAUAUAUCGAAUA